rnacentral:rRNA from 1 species
GGGGAAUAUUGCACAAUGGAGGAAAGUCUGACGGAGCAACGCCGCGUGAGUGAUGAAGGUUUUCGGAUCGUAAAGCUCUGUUGCCAGGGAAGAACGUCCUGUAGAGUAACUGCUACAGGAGUGACGGUACCUGAGAAGAAAGCCCCGGCUAACUACGUGCCAGCAGCCGCGGUAAUACGUAGGGGGCAAGCGUUGUCCGGAAUUAUUGGGCGUAAAGCGCGCGCAGGCGGCUGUUUAAGUCUGGUGUUUAAUCCUGGGGCUCAACCCCGGGUCGCACUGGAAACUGGAUGGCUUGAGUGCAGAAGAGGAGAGUGGAAUUCCACGUGUAGCGGUGAAAUGCGUAGAGAUGUGGAGGAACACCAGUGGCGAAGGCGACUCUCUGGGCUGUAACUGACGCUGAGGCGCGAAAGCGUGGGGAGCAAAC